GAGACGGCUCAAACAAUAAUCUUUGCCCUUUAUAUUUAAAUUAGAUUAGUUUAACAUGUGAAAUGUCCGUAAAGUAUCAUCACAUGAUUGGUUUUACUCCACUACUUGUAAUUAUAAGUUCCUAACGAUUAGGUGAAAGUCCCUUAUAAUUUAGCACCAGAUUCAAGCAUGCAAACUAAGUAAGCCUCCUUAAUCAACACACAAGAAUAAGUUAUCAAUCAAAUAGAUAAGUAAAUCGCAUUUAUAUUUUACGAAACAAUAACUGAAAGGAAUCAAUUCAUAUUAACAUAUGUCCAUGGCUUCAAAUUCACCACUAACUAAUAAGAAUUUAGUUCCACAUGUUCAUAUCAAUUGAAAACCAAAUUGAAAUAGACAUCGAAACUGAAACGAAGGAAGAAAGAACUCUUAAAACUCCCAAGGAUGCAGAUGGCUUGCGCACAAGGCCCUCAUUCAUCAAUGGAAUGCAUGACAAGGCUCUCCUUCUUCUCCAAAAGGUGCGGUAGAGAUGUAUAUGGAUGUAGGAUGGUGUUUUGUGAUGUAGAAUGGUGAUUAGGGUUGCGGCAAGGUGUUUCUGAAUGGUGUGAAGGGUGGUGACGAAUUUAGGCUUUAAAAACACAUAGAUAUAUGAUCGGAUCAUAUUAUAUAUAUUUUUACUUCAAAUUCACUCGUCUUUUCUUAGUUAGUUCCUUAUAAUUUUGAGCUAUUUACGUUAUUUUUGUGUUUAUAGGAUUUGUUAUGCAAAGAAAAUAAAAAUGGCACAAACUUGUUAUUUACUCACUAAAUUUUGUCAGGUUGGAAUCAGAGUUUGCACUGGGGUUAACUUAAAGAUGUUUCAGGUGGAAUGGUGAGUAACGCACAAAGAAAAGAAGUAGCAAGGCUGCCAAAAAGAAGAAUAAAAUAAAAGAGGAAAAGCAGCACUUGGCUGCCUGGGUGGAACAAAAGAAAACAAAAGAAUAAAUGAAAGCUGCUGAGUGCAGCGUGGUAGGUGGGCAGCGUGGAAGAGAGAUAAGCAGAAGAAAAGUCAGAAAAGGGAGGAUAGCAAAGCAGCGGAAAAAGGGCAGUGUGAAACGUGGAAGUGGGCUGUCUUGGAGCACAGGAUAAGAAGAGAGAAGGUGCAGAAAUAAAAGGGAGGAAAUAUAAGGGAGAAAGCGAGGUCAGAGAGACAGAAGCGGGAAGGAGAAAGGGGCUGCCCUUUAGGCAGCUCGCAGAGACGCAGGAAGGAGAGAAGGUCAGCAGGGACGCAAGGCAGUGUGACGCGGGGGGAAGCUGCCAUUUGGCAGCGUGAACUGAAGAGAAGGACUGACAGCAGCGGGCAGGUGGAAGGGCAUCAUGAGCUGGAUAAGACACGGGAAAGCUGCAGGAAAGGAGAGGGCGCAAGCGAGGCGCAGUUCACACGGGCACGAACGCAACAGAUCACCUUCUUUCGGUUUAAUCUUUCCAAACUUCUAUUUUAUUUCUGUUUUAAUAAUGUGUAACUAAUUUUAUUUUGGCUAGAGGUUAAUUCAAAGCCAUGAAUAUAUUUGUAAUAUGAAUUGAUUACCUUCGGUUGUGAUUUCAUAAGUUGUGAAUUCAAUUUACUUAUCCGUUCGUAUAAAAAAAAAAAAAAAAUGGCGCCGUUGCCGGGGAUUAGCAACUUUGCUAAUCCUUUUAUUUUUGUUUUUGUUUAUGUUUAUAUUGGUGUUUGUGUAUUUUUCUUUUGAUAUUUGAUUUAUUUUUCUUUCUUUGAUUUUAGGUUCAAAUGGAGCCGAGGGAAAUUUAAAGGAAAGAUGCGUCCGGCUAAAGACGUUAAAUCAAGCGCUUCUUGGGAGGCAACCCAAGCAUUCAACGAAGGGAGACUUUGGAAUCACUAACCCAAUCAGCUUUGCAUUCUUCCACCCUUAUCUUUACUGCUUUCAUUUUGUUUUGUUUAGUUAGUUGUGUUAUUUGGUUGAUUUCUGUGAGUUUGUGUUAUUUAGUUUAAGUGUGGGGGAAGGUUAACCAAAGUCUCUUUACAUUAAUUUACAUAUAUAUAUAAAAAAAAAAAGAUAAAAUUUAAAAUUAAUGAAAAAAAAAAAAAAAAAUUUUUAAAAAAAAAAAAUAUAAAAAAAAAAAAAAAAAAAAAAAGUACAAAUAUUUUACAAUGAUGUAAACUAAUAGUAUUCAUUGGUCGGGUGGUGCUUCAGUAGUAGGCGGGGCUUCAGCAGUCGGCGGGGCCACAUAAGGAGGAGGCGGCAGAGGUUGAUUAGUUGGAGCUUCACUACGCGGUGCCGCCCCAGAAGACGAAGGAAGAUGCGGUUGGAACAAACCCACAAACCUCCGAUGAUCAAGUAAAAUUUGACCAUCAGUGUCCUGCAUCUGGUCAAUCUUCCUCUUCAUGCUGGUGGCAUAGCUGUGUGCGAGCUUGUGCAAUUGUUUAUUUUCAUGCUUGAGUCUUUAAUCUCCUCUUUGAGACUCUGUAUUUCAGCCACCAACGAUUCAACGUGACGGGUUCGGGCAUAUAGGCGUUGGGCCAUGUUGGACACCGAACCAGCACACUGCACGCUAAGAGCCAGAGACUCCUUAACCGCCAAUUCAUCAGACCGUCUAGCGAGCAGUCUGUUAUCUCUGGGAGUGACAAGGUUCCGGGCCACCACCGCAGCGGUCAUGUCAUUUUUCAUCACCGAAUCCCCAACGGUAAGAGGAUCGGUAGGGGAUAUGAAAGAUGGGCGCCAUAUGUUGUCUGGUGAAGGCGGAGCUGCCUCUUCACCAAUGUUCAAGUCAAAACGACGAUCGGACGGGCCAGACAUUUUCUGAAGGUGGUGAAGAAAGAAGAGAGUCGGACAGAUCAAGAUUAAACAAGUGCAAGAAGGGACUGUUUACAGGAGGAAGCUCAAGUGUGUUGUGGAACAAAAUUAACACCUCUAUAAAAAGAAGAAAUCAAAGAGGCGCUCCUCAGAAAUCGAUGAAGCGUCCUCUCGCAAAUCGAAGAGUCGGGGCUCCGUUCUCAAACGCCUGAUUCUUUUCUCAAAAGAGGAGUUUCCUUUCUCAAAAGCCGGAUUCUUUUCUCAAAAGAGGCGUUUCAUUUCUUAAAGGCUGGGCUUGCUCAGAAACCACGAGCCGAACCCUGGAUUUCAAAAGAUCAAUUUGUCCAGACGUGUCGUCACUUGUCACACGCAAAUUGCUUUGUGGAAAUCUCGGGCAGUUUGUCGAAGCACCAAUUCAGAAAUCGAAGAGGGAAAUUCAACAGUCAAAGACACGCUAGCUUUCUCAAAAGCUGGGCUUCAACCCACGGGCAAAUCUUCUUUUCCAGAUUUAUCCGCACGUGUCACAUGCUACCUCUACAAUCGACGAUGCUCAGAGCUCGAAGCGCCGAUUCCAGAUAUCAAUGAGGAAUCUGCUUUGCGGAAAUUACGGGCAGCUUUGUCAGAAAGCGCGUAAUUUGUACUAUUCAUCCAUCCACCGGCUGCCGACAAUGAGUGAGGGAAUAGUUCCGGUUGUGAAGAAAAGUCCUAUAAGUAUUUACCUUCGCCUUCCACAGCAAAGGACAAGCACACCCUCUCAGCACUUCUUCAUCUCCGAGAAAUGCAUUCCCAAAGAACCCUCUCGAGUCACACUGUGUUCCUCAUUCCCUUGGGAUACCCCCCUGCAAACAACCCAUCCAGAAGCAAAAGUAUUUCAUAUCAUAAAGGUUGAAAGCAAGAGUAUCUCAUAUCAUGCAUUCUCCAUGUCCUUUUCCUUGUCUUUGUUCUAACCUGCAGGACAUGGAGAAAUUGCUCUCGAGUACUCGUAUUCCACUGCUGAUGUACUUCCAAAGAAGCUGCCACAUCUACCUGAAGAACAGAUAAGGCAAGCGAAAAUGAUACCAGUAGCAUGUGGAGACAACGUACAGAAGAAACAAGCAGAGAAGAAUGCAGCUUGCACAAUCAUCCCAGCACAAGGAGUCCGAGCUGAGGAACUAGAGAAGCUGCCACAUCUGCUUGGAGAACAAAUAAGGAACUGCAACAUCACCAAAGAGCAAAGCUUCGCCGUACAAUAUCAUCAAAUCAUCACUUGCAAGUAAAAAGCUAAGUGUCACCCCGUUCAAGAGGAAAGCUGUGGAAAGUCAACAAGCACGACCAAUGAUUACUUAUUAGUUUUAUUCAUUAUCUUUUAUCGUAAUUUUCAAUUUUUCGUUUGCAAUUUUUUUUAAUUAAUUUUCUUGCGUUACUUAACUGAUUUAUUUCUUUUCUUUGCAGGAACUUUUGGUUCUUUCCACCCUUGAAGUUGAUUUCAGAAUUUUAGCUUGGAGGGUCAUCGCUUGAUUUUACUGCAAACUAGGGAAGUUUUCAGUCCAAUUGCUUUAUUUUGUUUCUUAUUAUUUAUUUAUUUUAUUUUUAUUUGCAUUAUAGUGUUUUCUGACAUUGGGGACAAUGUCCAGUUUAAGUGUGGGGGUAGACAUCUCUAGAAUUUCAUUUGUUUCUGUGUUGUUGUUUUUUUUUUUUUUGUUUUCUUUAAAAAAAAAAAAUAUAUAUAUAUAUAUAAAAUAAAAAAUAAAAUAAAAAAUAAAAAAAUCGGAAAAUUUAAAAAUCCAAAAAUAUUGUCUUGUUUCCCUUAUUGUUUUGAAUUAGAUUUUUGUUAGUUUCCCGACCCAAUGAUAUAAUUGGAUCAAAUUUGAACCAUGAUCAUCAAGAACUUAGUUAACAUGUGUUUUGUGAAAUUCCUAAUUCUCUUGUUAGUUUUGUAUAUGUUUGACCAUCUUUGAAAAACCAAAUGCACAUAGCCUUGUUAAUGUGAAACUAAAGUAUGAAUUAAAGCGUCAUAUGUGAAUUUAGUGACCAUAUUCAUCCUAUGUGAGUUUUUGAGCCGAUUGAAAGUGUGUGCAUUUUUCAUACACUCAUAUUCUUUCAUGUGUGAUGAACUUAUGUGAGAUACAUCUCUAGAACUUGCGUAACGAUCUUUCGAAAUGUUUAUCAUUGAUUGCAUGAACUUGGAAAUGAUAGAGGCAUUAGGUUUACCACUAUGGCCCAAAUAACCAUGUUUCCCAAAUAAAAAUAAUAUCAUUAGAUUGCCAAUUUGAGCCGUGUAUGUUGAGCCUUUUAUUUCUUACCACUAGAUAUGUCUACCUUUAUACCUGAAAUUUUUUUUUCCUUACCCUUUCCAAGCAAGCUAGUGAGCAAUGUGAGAUUGUCUUAUGAGAAAUGUUUGUGAAGUACUUUGAAGGUGUUUGGCAAAAGAAUAAGUGUGGGGGUAUUUCAUGUUUGUAUUUAAAAAAAAAAAAAAAAAAAAAAAAAAAAAAAAAAAAGAAAAGAAAAAAGAAAAAGAGAGAUUGUAUACAAAGAAAAUAAAAAGUUUUUAAAGUUUCAGUUUAAGGGGGGUGGUUGGAGGUGCGAGAAGAAUCGCGGGAAAGCUUGAGUUCUUAUAAAUCUAAACAAAAGAAUUGCUUGCAAUGUAGCUUGGAACUUGUGUUUUCCUAUUCUUUCGUUUCAAUAACCCUAUCCCUAAGCCUCAUUACAUCCAAUAAAAGUCCUCUUGAUUUAAGUUUUGCAAUUAUGAAUGUGGAGAAGUGAUCUUUAUGCAAGCUUAUGGUAGAACUUUCACAUUUGAUUCUUUGAGCGAAACACAUUAAAACUAAACACAUGUGUGAUUGAGUGCAUAUCCCGUGAGAAGGUUGCUAGUUUGCAUAUGAUGAUUUUAAAAAUAUAAAAAUUUUGAAAUUGCAUUAGCAUGGCUAUCUCACACACUACACUUCAAGGAUGAUUUAAAGAUUACUGCUAAUAUUUGAAUUAGGAAGAUGAACUUGGAUUAGUUCCUUGAUGCUAGCUAUGGUUCUUGAUGAUUUGUUUUCUUGAAUGAAAUUCUAUGAGGGUCACAUAGGGGGAAGCUAAUGUCUUUCUUGUUACUUCUUGUUCUUGUUUUCUUUGUUUUGCUCGAGGACUAGCAAAAGUUAAGUGUGGGGGUAUUUGAUCGGAUCAUAUUUAUAUAUAUUUUUACUUCAAAUUCACUCGUCUUUUCUUAGUUAGUUCCUUAUAAUUUUGAGCUAUUUACGUUAUUUUUGUGUUUAUAGGAUUUGUUAUGCAAAGAAAAUAAAAAUGGCACAAACUUGUUAUUUACUCACUAAAUUUUGUCAGGUUGGAAUCAGAGUUUGCACUGGGGUUAACUUAAAGAUGUUUCAGGUGGAAUGGUGAGUAACGCACAAAGAAAAGAAGUAGCAAGGCUGCCAAAAAGAAGAAUAAAAUAAAAGAGGAAAAGCAGCACUUGGCUGCCUGGGUGGAACAAAAGAAAACAAAAGAAUAAAUGAAAGCUGCUGAGUGCAGCGUGGUAGGUGGGCAGCGUGGAAGAGAGAUAAGCAGAAGAAAAGUCAGAAAAGGGAGGAUAGCAAAGCAGCGGAAAAAGGGCAGUGUGAAACGUGGAAGUGGGCUGUCUUGGAGCACAGGAUAAGAAGAGAGAAGGUGCAGAAAUAAAAGGGAGGAAAUAUAAGGGAGAAAGCGAGGUCAGAGAGACAGAAGUGGGAAGGAGAAAGGGGCUGCCCUUUGGGCAGCUCGCAGAGACGCAGGAAGGAGAGAAGAUCAGCAGGGACGCAAGGCAGUGUGACGCGGGGGGAAGCUGCCAUUUGGCAGCGUGAACUGAAGAGAAGGACUGACAGCAGCGGGCAGGUGGAAGGGCAGCAUGAGCUGGAUAAGACACGGGAAAGCUGCAGGAAAGGAGAGGGCGCCAGCGAGGCGCAGUUCACACGGGCACGAACGCAACAGAUCAUCUUCUUUCGGUUUAAUCUUUCCAAACUUCUAUUUUAUUUCUGUUUUAAUAAUGUGUAACUAAUUUUAUUUUGGCUAGAGGUUAAUUCAAAGCCAUGAAUAUA
rnacentral:lncRNA from 1 species